UAAAAUAGUUUAUCAAAGCAACUGAACAGAAUAGAAUUGUUUAUCAUAGCAACUGAACAGAACAGAUGAUGUUUAUGAAAGCAAAUGAACAGAAUAGAAUAGUUUAUCAAAACAACUGAACAGAACAGAAUAGCUUAUCAAACCAACUGAACAGAAUAGAAAAAUUUAUCAUAGCCACUUAACAGAAUAGUAUAGUUUAUCAUAGCAACUAAACAGAAUAGAAUAGUUUAUCAAAGCAACUGAACAGAAUAGAAUAGUUUAUCAAAGCAACUGAACAUGAUAUAAGAAACAAGAGAUUCCCUUUAUAUUUGGAGAAGAUAAUUCUAUUUAGAUAAACUGGGCGAACUUAGAAGAUAAUUCCAUACUUGAAGAAACUGAACCUGGAAGAUAAUUCCAUAUUUGGAGAAACUGAACCUGGAAGAUAAUUCCAUUAUUGGAGAAACUGAACCUGGAAGAUAAUUCCAUAUUGGAAGUAACUGAACCUAGAAGAUAAUUCCAUAUUUGGAUAAACUGAACCUGGAAGAUAAUAUAAUAUUUGAAGAAUUUAGAGAAGAACUGGUUCCUCCACAAUACAAGAUUGUCAGAUGUCAGAUUUGGAGAAUAUGGUUGAAAACACUCUAAUAUGCUUGCUCAAGUUCUUGAGUCAGAAGAACAAGUGUGCUAUGAGAGAAUGAAGUUAUACAUUGCGAAGAUGGAUUGAUGAGCUUGAGAAUACCUUUAGGGUUUGGAAGAUAUGUGAACUUGAUACAAACAAGCUUAGAAGAAUCUCAGACGAGAUAAGCAUCAUUCAAUGUAAUAUUUUUGAA